AGGAUGAACGCUGGCGGCGUGCUUAACACAUGCAAGUCGAACGAUGAAGGCUGGAGCUUGCUCUGGCUGGAUUAGUGGCGAACGGGUGAGUAACACGUGAGUAACCUGCCCCAGACUCUGGGAUAAGCGCUGGAAACGGCGUCUAAUACCGGAUACGAGCUUCCACCGCAUGGUGAGGAGCUAGGAAA
rnacentral:rRNA from 1 species